rnacentral:lncRNA from 1 species
ACUUGGGCACCGCACCGCUGGGGGCGAAGGCACCGACCGGGCGGCACGGGCCGGGACCGGGCGCUGGACCAGGGCGGCCCCGAGGCCUGGCGGGCGACCCGCUCCUAGCAAAGGUGCGCGGGGGGACGAGCGGGUGGGAGCGGCCUCGCAAACAAGCCUCCGUCCCAGCCCUUGCCUUCUGCUCGAAAUUGAUGAUGCCCUGCACUGGGCCGUCGCCCUUCAGCACGCACACGGCCUUCGUCGCCAUAACUCGCUAGGCCACGCCGAGGUCCUGGUUCCGAGGACUGCAACGGAAACCCCAGACGCUGCAGGAGACUACGACGCAAACCAGCACCCCGUCUCCGCGACUACUUUAUAGGCCAGACCUCCGCGCCUCGCCCACUCUGGCCCCAAACCAAUCGCCUCGCACGCGCUCAGCCCGCCCCCUGCGGCAGCCUCGGGUCGCGAGUGGCCGGGAAUGACUGGGGGCGGGGCCAAGGGGCCGCGUGCGCCGGAGACUCCCCCCGCCCCGCAGCCGGGAAACGUCCAGAACCCCGAAAUGUGGAGAAAACAACCUUCUUUUCACGGGGGCGUGGCCCGCCGGUUGCAGUACGCGAAAUUGGCAAAAUGAUGUAAACAGGGAAGUUCGGCAGAUUUCAGUUCAUUGUAAACUUGCCAAGGGAUCCGCCCACAGACACGAGAGAGCUGCUUUGGGACAGUGAAUUACUCUUCUUUUGAGACGGUCUAAUGAUGCCUGGGUGGUGCCUUCGUAGGAUGGUCGUCACACCUGAACAAGGGGGUCCCUGGCCCCAGGCCCCAUGCUUUACUGGGCCCUGUUCUGUCCCUCUUCUGGCAUCAUCUCCCAUGGAGAAAAGAAUGUGUUGAAGCCAAGAAGAUGCUCCCCCCGCAAGAAUAUCAUCUCUGCUAGAACAGGGGCUGGAGUGUAACGGCAUGAUCUCGGCUCACUGCACCCUCGACUUCCUGGAUUCAGGUGAUCCCCUCACCUCAGCCUCCCUAGUAGCUGGUGUGUCCGGAAUUGGUGGGUUCUUGGUCUCACUGACUUCAAGAAUGAAGCCGUGGACCCUCGCGGUGAGUGUUACAGUUCUUAAAGGUGGCGUGUCCGGAGUUUGUUCCUUCUGAUGUUCAGAUGUGUUCGGAGUUUCUUCCUUCUGGUGGGUUUGUGGUCUCGCUGGCUCAGGAGUGAAGCUGCAGACCUUCGCGGUGAGUGUUACAGCUCUUAAGGCAGCGCGUCUCAAGUUGUUCAUUCCUCCCGGGGGGUUCGUGGUCUCAUUGGCUUCAGCAGUGAAGCUGCAGACCUUCGUGGUGAGUGUUACAGCUCAUAAAGGCAGUGUGGACCCAAAGAGUGAGCAGCAGCAAGAUUUAUUGCAAAGAAAGACAAAGCUUCCACAGUAUGGAAGGGGACCCAAGCAGCUUGCCACUGCUGGCUCAGGCAGCCUGCUUUUAUUCUUUUAUCUGGCCCCACCCACAUCCUGCUGAUUGGUAGAGCCGAGUGGUCUGUUUUGACAGGGCGCUGAUUGGUGUGUUUACAAUCCCUGAGCUAGACACAAAGGUUCUCCACCUCCCCACCAGAGUAGCUAGAUACAGAGUGUCGAUUCGUGCAUUCACAAACCCUGAGCUAGACACAGGGUGCCGAUUGGUGCAUUUACAAUCCCUUAGCUAGACAUAAAGGUUCUGCAGGUCCCCACUAAACUCAGGAGCCCAGCUGGCGUCACCCAGUGGAUCCCGCACCUGGGCUGCAGGUGGAGCUGCCUGCCACUCCCAUGCCGUGCACCCGCACUCCUCAGCCCUUGGGUCGUCGAUGGGACUGGGCGCCGUAGAGCAGGGGGCGGUGCUUGUCGGGGAGGCUCCGGCAGCACAGCAGCCCACAGAGAGGGGGAGGCUCAGGCAUGGCGGGCUGCAGGUCCCGAGCCAUGCCCCGCAGGGAGGCAGCUAAGGCCGGUGAGAAAUCGAGCCCAGUGCCGGUGGGCGGCACUGCUCUGAGUACAGGGCCUCCACAGCCGCUGGCCCUGGUGCUAAGCCCCUCAUUGCAUGGGGCCGGCAGGGCCUGCCGGCUGCUCCGAGUGCGGGCCCGCCAAGCCCACGCACACCUGGAGCUCCAGCUGGCCCGGAAGUGCCCGCACAGCCCCUGUUCCCGCUCAUGCCUCUCCCUCCACACCUCCUUGCAAGCUGAGGGAGCCAGCUCCGGCCUUGGCCAGCCCAGAAAGGGGCUCCCACAGUGCAGCGGUGGGCUGAAGGGCUCCUCAAGUGCUGCCAAAGUGGGAGCCCAGGCAGAGGAGGUGCCGAGAGCGAGUGAGGCCUCUGAGGACUGCCAGCAUGCUGUCACCUCUCACUGGGACUACAGGACUUCCUAUGGCGUUUCUUGAAAGGCAAAACUGUUGUCACUUCCACUGACAGUGCCAUAGGUGUGGGCAUCACCUGCUACAGCAAAUCCAGUAAGCCCCCUCCAACCUGGCAGCACCACUGCAGGUCCUCAUGCCUGGUCCUGCCCUGGCAGAACCUCCACACCCACUCGGCUAGAGGAGAUGGGAGCAGUCCUAGGAAAGAACGCUUCAGACAUCCACUGUUCUUACCCAACGUUCAGCAUGUUAUCAAGCUUAAACACUUCUCAGAUUGUUGUAUGAGUUUUAUUGAUUUCCAGAGCACCAAAAUAGUUGUUCUUGUCAAUUUUGUUCAGACUUAUAGUUGCUUUCUGGGGAGAGGAUUUGCUGACUUUUCACAUGGCUGUAGCUGGAAAUACGCUUCCACCCCCAGUGUUUCUGAUUCAUUAGACCCGGGGUGCAACUGGAGAAUUUGCAUAGCCCAAAAAAGAAGUGUGUUACAGUUCCUCCCCCACUCUCUCUCUUGCUCCUGCUUUCACCAUGUGAAAUGCCUGCUCCCACAUUGCCUUCUGCCAUGAAUAAAAGCUCCCUGAGGCCCCCCCCAUGAAGCUGAGUGAUGUUGGUGCCAUGCUUGUACAGCCUGCAGAACCGGGAGCCAAUUAAACUUCUUUUCUUUAUAAAUUUCCCAGUCUCAGGUAUUUCUUUUUUUUUUUUUUUUUUUGAGAUGGAGUCUCACUCUGUCGCCCAGGCUGGAGUGCAGUGGUGCUAUCUCGGCUCACUGCAAGCUCCACCUCCAGGAUUCAAACCCAUUCUCCUGCCUUAGCCUCCCGAGUAGCUGAGACUACUGGCUCCCGCCACCACGCCCAGCUAAUUUUUUGUAUUUUUAGUAGAGACAGGGUUUCACCGUGUUAGCCAGGAUGGUCUCAAUCUCCUGACCUCGUGAUCCACCCACCUCAGCCUCCCAAAGUGCUGGGAUUAGAAGUGUGAGCCACUGUGCCCGGCCUUUUUUUUUUUUUUUUUUUUUUUUUUUUUGAGAUGGAGUUUCACUCUUGUUGCCCAGGCUGGAGUGCAAUGGUGCGAUCUUGGCUCACUGCAGCCUCCACCUCCCGGAUUCAAGGGAUUUUCCUGCCUCAGCCUCCCAGGUAGUUGGGACUACAG